GAUGAACGCUAGCGGCAGGCUUAACACAUGCAAGUCGAGGGGUAUAUUUCUUCGGAGAUAGAGACCGGCGCACGGGUGCGUAACGCGUAUGCAAUCUACCUCAUACUGGGGGAUAGCCCUGGGAAACCGGGAGUAAGCCCGCAUGGUACCACCGGAUUUCAUGGUUUGGUGGUUAAAGAUUUAUUGGUAUGAGAUGAGUU
rnacentral:rRNA from 1 species